CCCGGCCCCGGGGAGGACCGUGUGAAAAUGAGGCCGGGGCUCGGGGGCCGGGCGGGGCCGGGCCGGGGGUGUCAGAGCGCGGCGGGCAGGGCGCCCGCACACACCUCCCGGAGCCGCCGCCGCGCUCGCCGUCUCUGCCCGCAGCCGCCGCGCCACCCAUGGGGGUCUUGGGCCGCGGCUGCCCCGGGACGGCCCGGGCGCUGCUGUCGCUGCUGCUGCCGCCGCUGCUGCUGACCGCGGCCGUCCCGCCCGGCCCGGGCCGCGCCCCGGGGCCGCCGGAGGAUGUGGAUGAGUGCGCCCAAGGGCUAGAUGACUGCCACACCAACGCCCUCUGUCAAAAUACACUCACCUCCUACAAGUGCUCCUGCAAGCCUGGCUACCAAGGGGAGGGCAGGCAGUGUGAGGACAUUGAUGAAUGUGAGAAUGAACUCAAUGGAGGCUGUGUCCAUGACUGUUUGAAUAUUCCAGGCAAUUACCGCUGCACAUGUUUUGAUGGCUUCAAGUUGGCUCAUGAUGGUCAUAAUUGUCUUGAUGUGGACGAGUGCCUGGAGAACAAUGGUGGCUGCCAGCACACCUGUGUCAACGUCAUGGGGAGCUAUGAGUGCCGAUGCAAGGAGGGAUUUUUCCUGAGUGACAAUCAGCACACGUGCAUUCACCGCUUGGAAGAGGGUCUGAGCUGCAUGAAUCGGAAUCACGGUUGUAGUCACAUCUGCAAGGAGGCCCCGAGGGGCAGCGUCGCCUGCGAGUGCCGGCCGGGCUUUGAGCUGGCCAAGAACCAGAGAGACUGCAUCUUGACCUGUAACUAUGGAAAUGGUGGGUGCCAGCACUCCUGCGAGGACACUGCUGAAGGCCCAGAGUGUAGCUGCCAUCCCCAGUACAAGAUGCAUGCAGACGGGAGAAGCUGCCACGAGCGAGAGGACACUGCCCCGGAGGUGACAGAGAGCAAUGCCACGUCGCUGGUGGACGGCGAUAAGCGGGUGAAGCGGCGGCUGCUCAUGGAAACAUGUGCUGUCAACAAUGGAGGCUGCGAUCGCACCUGUAAGGAUACUUCGACAGGUGUUCAUUGCAGUUGUCCCAUUGGAUUCACUCUCCAGUUGGAUGGGAAGACCUGUAAAGACAUUGAUGAGUGCCAGACCCGCAAUGGAGGUUGCGAUCAUUUCUGCAAAAACACCGUGGGCAGUUUUGACUGCAGCUGCAAAAAGGGAUUUAAAUUAUUAACAGAUGAGAAGUCUUGCCAAGAUGUGGAUGAAUGCUCUUUGGAUAGGACCUGUGACCACAACUGCAUCAACCAUCCCGGCACAUUCACAUGUGCUUGCAACAAAGGGUACACCCUCUAUGGCUUCACCCACUGCGGAGACACCAACGAGUGCAGUAUCAACAAUGGGGGCUGUCGGCAGGUCUGUGUGAACACAGCGGGCAGCUAUGAAUGCCAGUGCCGCUCUGCAUACAAGCUCCACUGGAAUCAGAAAGACUGUGUGGAAGUGAAGGGGGUCCUGCCCACUAGUGUGUCACCCCAUGUGUCCCUGCAUUGCGGUAAGAGUGGUGGAGGAGACAGGUGCUUCCUCAGAUGUCACUCGGGCAUUCACCUCUCUUCAGGACUGCAAGAGGCCUACUCUGUCACCUGCGGCUCUUCCUCUUCUCUCAAGAGCAAACAGCAAAAAUCCAAUGACUCCACUUUCGGGGAUGUCGCCACCGUCAGGACAAGUGUAACCUUUAAACUAAAUGAAGGCAAGUGUAGUUUGAAAAAGGCUGAGCUGUUUUCCGAGGGUCUGCGACCAGCACUACCAGAGAAGCACAGCUCAGUAAAAGAGAGCUUCCGCUACGCAAACCUUACAUGCAGCUCCAGCAAGCAAGUCCCGGGAGCCCCUGGCCGCCCCAGCGCCACUAAGGAAAUGUUUAUCUCUGUUGAGUUUGAACUUGAAACUAACCAAAAGGAGGUGACAGCUUCUUGUGACCUGAGCUGCAUUGUCAAGCGAACAGAGAAGCGGCUCCGGAAAGCCAUCCGCGCGCUCCGGAAGGCUGCCAACAGGGAGCAGUUUUACCUCCAGCUCUCGGGCAUGGACCUGGAAGGGGCAAAGACGUCUCCCAGCGCAUCUGAACACCGAGUGCAGGCCUGUGGAGUGGGCCAGGGCCACGCAGGAAACCAAUGUGUCAGUUGCAGGGCUGGGACAUAUUAUGAUGGAGCACAAGAACGCUGCAUUUUGUGUCCAAAUGGAACCUUCCAAAAUGAGGAAGGACAAAUCACAUGCGAACCUUGCCCAAGACCAGAAAAUCCUGGAGCCCUGAAGACUCCAGAAGCUUGGAAUGUAUCCGAAUGUGGAGGUCUGUGCCAACCUGGGGAAUAUUCUGCAGAUGGUUUUGCACCCUGCCAGCUCUGUGCCCUGGGCACAUUCCAGCCUGAGGCCGGCCGAACUUCCUGCUUCCCCUGUGGGGGAGGCCUCCCCACUAAACACCAGGGAGCCACUUCCUUCCAGGACUGUGAAACUAGAGUUCAGUGUUCACCUGGACAUUUCUAUAACACCACCACUCACCGAUGUAUUCGCUGCCCAGCAGGAACAUACCAACCUGAAUUUGGAAAAAAUAAUUGUGUUUCUUGCCCAGGAAAUACUACCACUGACUUUGACGGCUCCACAAACAUAACCCAGUGUAAAGAUAGAAGAUGUGGAGGGGAGCUGGGAGAUUUCACCGGAUACAUUGAAUCCCCAAACUACCCAGGCAAUUAUCCAGCCAACACCGAGUGUACAUGGACCAUCAACCCACCACCCAAGCGCCGAAUCUUGAUUGUGGUCCCUGAGAUCUUCCUGCCCAUUGAAGACGACUGUGGGGACUACCUGGUGAUGCGGAAAACCUCUUCAUCCAAUUCCGUGACAACAUAUGAAACCUGCCAGACCUACGAACGGCCCAUCGCCUUCACCUCCAGAUCAAAGAAGCUGUGGAUUCAGUUCAAGUCCAAUGAAGGGAACAGUGCCAGAGGCUUCCAGGUCCCGUACGUGACAUACGAUGAGGACUACCAGGAACUCAUUGAAGACAUAGUUCGAGAUGGCAGGCUCUAUGCCUCUGAGAACCAUCAGGAAAUACUGAAGGAUAAGAAACUGAUCAAGGCUCUGUUUGAUGUCCUGGCCCACCCCCAGAACUAUUUCAAGUACACAGCCCAGGAAUCCCGGGAGAUGUUUCCAAGAUCCUUCAUCCGAUUGCUCCGUUCCAAAGUGUCCAGGUUCCUGAGGCCUUACAAGUGAGCCUGCCCACGAGCCCCUCGGUGCCACGCUCUGCCUGUGGGCUCUGGGACACAGUUGGCUAUCGCGGCCUCCCGUAGCAGUGACUCAUUAGAGCUCAAUUUUUAUAGAUAAUACAGAUAUUUUGGUGUCCGGGGGCCAGGUGGGACCCGGCACAGGCCAGACUGGCAGGUUUACUUUCCUUGCCCACGUCCAAGGUCAGACGCUGACUCAGCUCUGAGGACACGAGCAGCACCAUCGCGGGUGGGCUUGUUCUCUUAAUCAUCACACCGCCGCCAGAAGCAGCUACACAAAUCCCGCUCUCCAGGUACUGCAGAAUCACCUUUUGGUCAGCGCAGUGGGGCUUCACAGUCAUUUCCUCCCGCAGAAUCGGGAAUUUUCAAUAUUAUUUAAGUUGUACAAAUUUAAAUCCACAGGCAAAAGUCUCAUUACAGUGAAUAAAAAAGAACCCUAUCAAACAAGCUGCCGUUUCCCUGAACGGGCUGGCGACACUGUGUUCUGUUACUUCAGUGACAAACUAACCCUGGACACACAACUCUCUACACCAAAGUACUCAAAAAAUGGUUGACAAAUAUUUCUAAAGAAAACAAAGACUAUUUUCAUUAUUGUUGAGCACACUUUUCACCUCAGUUGUUGUUAUUUUUUUUUAACCUAUCCAUCUCAUUGAUUUAAAAAAACAAAACAAAAACAAAACCUAAUCAAACUUUUCUUCUUUAUUUGGAUGGGUCCUAAAUACCCACUUCCAAAUUUCUUUUCAAAAAUGGAAACAUCUUCGUUUUUAAAACUAAUCAUCAAAAUAAGCACUUGGAAUUUGUCAUCUCAGAACUUUGCCUACAUUUCUGAGUCUAACCAUAAAAUGAAAAUUCAAAGGUAAUACGACCUGAGUCAGUGACCCGCCCGAUGUGGGGGCGGGGUGAGCGGAAUGUGCCAUCCUGCCCAAGCACAUCGGUAGCUUGGUGUUCAUGGCGGUGUGGUUCUGCAUUGUGGGUGUCACAAGAAGGCCAGGGAUGGAAAGGUGUUGGGGGCUGGAAGGAGGCCGCAAAAACCUGGUCUCUGUGAGGCCCCCUCCAGGAGCAGGCCCGCACGCCAGAGCUGUGCUCCUCCUACAAGCAUGAGCAGCUGUGGCCCCCCCAAGCCCCCCCUCUGUCCCCACCAACCACCCUGAGACACUGUGGGAGGCUGGCUGCCUGUAGCUAUACUCUUGCUACCUAUUAAACCAAUAACGAUUUAUUGAACGUCUCCUCUGUGCCAGGCACUGUUGUAGGCCCUAGGGAUGCACAGUGACAAGGCAGACAGGGUCCUUGCUCUCGCGGAACUUAACGUUUUAGAGGGAGGAGACGGCCAAUGAGCAAAUAAAUCACCACGGGAAGUAUCAGCUAGCCUUGUGUUACGCGGUAGGUGAAUGUGCCAGAGGACCGCCUCGCGACUUGAGAAUCCGGAUCGUGGAGGGCCGCUCUGGGGAAAUGACAUUGCAACCUGAAAACGGCCAGAAGGAACCAGUCUUGGGACAGGCAGGGGGAAGAGCGCUCCAGGUAGAGGGAGGCCAAGUGCAGAGGCUGACAGGCAGGAGCCAGCCUGUGGGUGGUCACCGUGCAGUGAGAAGGCAGUGGGACGAGAUGAGGCCAGGGGACUGGACAGGGGCCAGAGCGCAUCAGGCUUUGGAAUCCAGAACGAGAGGCUCGGGUUUCAUUCUAAACAUGUUGUCAAGCUUUCAGAGGGGUUGAGGCAGAGGAGUGGGAUGCUCUGAUUUAUGUUGUUAAAAGAUAGUUCUGGUUCCUGUAUGAAUACAUUUUAGAAAAAGCCAUGGAGGCAGAGAGCCAUUAGCCAACGAUUGCAACCAACCAAGCGGCCAUCCAGGUGGCAGAGGAGGUGGUCUGGGUUAAGGGUGUGGAGUGGAGAUGAGAGAAUAGAAAGUUUCCGGACCGGUUUGGGGGCAGAGCGUAGAACCUGCAUGAGGAUUGGAUGGAGGGGAAGGGAAGGGCAACCACCAAGGGGGCCUCCUAGUUGCCUGAGCAACUGGUAGCUGGAGGAGACGGGCCAUUUCAAGUAUGAGGUACCUGUUUAGGAAUCCAAAUUCAGAGUUCAGAUAGGCAGUUGAUUUUAUGAAGUCCCAGAAGAGGUCAGCACUGGAAUAUGAAUUUUAAUGUCACAGAAUAAAGACAUGAGACAUGAGGUUGAGGUCACCUGGGGCAAAGUAUGUACAUCAAGAAGACCAGGGAGCUCUGCAUUCUGGGAUUCCCUGUGUGGGCCCAGGACUGGGACUGGAGGAGCUGAUUGUUAAGUAAACAGGAAGAGGUUGGAGCUGAGUUUCCCCUGCCCUCCAAGGGAGCUCAUUCUGUGGGAGGACUCUGAGUGGAACUGGAAUCUGUACAAGUCCUUCUUUCCAGCUGUGGAUAUUGUUCUUGAGCCCUUUACUCAAGUACUGCAUUUAUGGAUUUAGCAACGUUGCCCUUGAGUUUCCAAUGCUAAUAAAAGAGUGUUUGCCUUUUCACACUA